GCGUUAACUGUUACGCGACAGUAUCUGACUUGAAUGUGUCGCGAACCACUGAGGCGAGUGACGAUUCAGUGACGUCGACCAGGAAAAAAUAAAGAAAGCUGACUCAACUCUGAAUAAAUGUGUGUGGCCUGUAAUGGACGAUUAGCGUGCUCGUUUGGGUUUCUACGGUCUAUGCUGUACACGUGCUCACGUUGACCACCGGACGUCAGAGAAGACGAACUAACAAAAUGGACUAAGACUGGGAGUAGUAGCCUACUAGUAGUGGUAGGAGUAGAACUAGUAGUACUAGUACUAGUAGUACUAGUAGUAAGAGGAGGAGGGAAAGGAGUAGUGGUUGGACGAGGAGGAGAAAGAGGAGAAUGAAGAGUAUUAGGAGAUGUAGGAGUAGCAGUACAGUUGUCAUUGUAUCAGCAUGAGCACAUUACUGGUACCCUUUCAUUGCUCAGUGACUCUCCGUAGUGUGCUUUCAUGUCCUAAAAGUGUAUUUUGUCACAGUGGCUGUCUGUUGUCGUACUAGAGGGGCUCCAACUACCGGAGACAAAGUUCUUGUGUGUUUUUGACGUACUUGGCAAAUAAAGAUGAUUCGGAUUCUGAGGAGGAAGAUGAGGGGUUGUAGGACUACUACCGGGGUACUACAAGCCGUAGGAGUAGUACAAGUAAUAGUCUUAAGAGGAGGACCAGGAGUUGUAGGAGUAAUACUUAACUAUUACUAGUUGUAGUAGUACUAGUAGUAGUUGUAAGAGGAGGAAGUGUAGAAGGAGUAUGAGAAGGAAGAGGAGAAAUAGAAGGAAGAGAAAGAUGAAGAGUCGUAGAAGUACUACUAAUAGUAGUAGUAGUAUUAAGAGGAAUAUCAGUAUUAGAAGAGGAGCAAGACAAAGAGUAGUACUAGUGGUAGUACUAAGAAGAGGAGGGUGAGUAGUACUACUAGUAAUAUUAAGAGGAGAAGUAGUAGUAGGAGUAACAGCAGCAGUGGGAGCAGUAUUCAAUUAAAACAUUAUUAAGGGAACGCCACAUUUCUUUGCAAAGCACAACAAAAAGACAUAAUCAACAACAAACAAUCUUAUAAGGUUUGCUAUGACAUGUUUUGCUACAUUAUGCAUGAUGUCAAUCUGAUCUUUUUGUGUUGCAUUUGCCAGCACCUCCCAGCACUGUUGUCUACAGUUUUCAGGCCUUGACAUCAAUAUGAGUGAGUACCUUUUACACAUGACCUCAUUUGUGUCUGUUCUUGUCAAGCUACACUCUGUAACGGGGCCAACGAAUGAGGAAAAGCUCCAUUCCUCCUCUCCUUUCUCUUUCUGCCUAUCACUUACCUCGUCCGCCGGUAACCUGAGCCUCCUCGUCCGCCUCCGUAUUCAACCAUCCGUAACCUUACGAUAACCUCUACGCUCUUCUUUUACGCUGCUCUGCGGUCAGAUCAAUCGUUCAGUCACGCUGUCCAAGUGCAGGGUAAGCGUGUUAUCAACUGACCUCAGAUCAGCCGGUAAUGGGAGCGCCCCUCUCCAUGGGUGGACUCUCGUGUCCCUUGCCGCACCGUCCGAACAGACCAGGAACUACCUGAUGGAGUAAUAAAAGAAAUCUUGUGACCAAACACACACUCACACUAAGACCUUGAGAGGACAUGGCAAGCUGCAGGACAAAGGCUUGUGAUGGUUGGGAAUGUUCCUAAUGUGACACACUGAGAGAAUGAUGACCUGCUGAUGGACUAAGGGGGGAUUCUGGAUACAUCUAAGAAUGACAAAUCUGCUGUGGGACAAGGGGAAGACUGCCUGGAGAUAAGGAUGAGGAUGUUCUCGCUGCAGUGCAUCUUUUCUGUUUCAUUCCCAUAGAAAACCCUCUUUUCUGUUCAAAGACCACUCUGGAUUAACUGGCCACUGUAGAGCCACAUCUUUGUUUUGUUUUGUUUUGCAACUAACUGGAGCCUAUCCUGUAAAUGCAGUCCACACCCGAGGCUGGUCACCAGUCAAGCACGGACAUCAGGCAAGUAAACCACGACAUCAGUGGUUCUCAAACUUUUUACACCAAGUACCACCUUUUAAAAAAAAAAAAAAAAAAAAAAUCCUAAAAAAUAGCUAUCCAAUAACUGCCAUCAUGGCCAACAUUAAAAUACAUUAGCGUACUGGCCACAGACAGAGGUUUUAUUCUUAAAAAUUAAAUUAUUGUAAGCCACGUAACAUUAGGCACACUUUUAACAUCAACACUGUGCUUAAAUAAAAUGUUUUGCACAUCAAAUUUAAGAAAACAUACUGAAAUGUUUUAUUAAAAUUAGAUGCAAAUGUAUAGUACUGUACCUGAAAGUUAAAUCCAACUGAACUGUAUUUAUAAAAUGUACUGUACUUGAAAAGUAAAAUAUAUUGUACAUAAAAAGUAAUAAACAGGCUGUAUGCCCAGUUACACGCUUCAUUCUAUUCUAUACGAGCUACAUGUUUGAUUGUAUUUCAUGUUUUAAAUGCUAUCAAUUUUGAUACAUUUUAAAAUUGGUUUCAAAUUGAAUGCAAAUGUGUUGUACGAAAGAAUGAAAUACAACUGUUAGGCAGUGAUUCUUUCACGCACCACUAGAGGGAGCCCGCGUACCACGAGUAGUACACAGUUUGAGAAUCACGCUGCACCUCACCAAAAGUGGAAUUUUAUAUUUUACAUCCAACUGGAGCCUAUCAUUGAUGAUACUGGGUGAAAGGCACAGGCACCUGGACUGAUCGCCAGACAAUCUGUGAACCAUUACACCAUCAGUGGAAUGUUUU